rnacentral:rRNA from 1 species
AUUGAACGCUGGCGGCAGGCCUAACACAUGCAAGUCGAACGAGUGGCGGACGGGUGAGUAAUGUCUGGGAAACUGCCUGAUGGAGGGGGAUAACUACUGGAAACGGUAGAUAAUACCGCAUAACAUCAGAUGUGCCCAGAUGGUUUUAGCUUGUUGGUGGGGUAACGGCUAACCAAGGCGACGAUCCCUAGCUGGUCUGAGAGGGUGACCAGCCACACUGGAACUGAGACACGGUCCAGACUCCUACGGGAGGCAGCAGUGGGGAAUAUUGCACAAUGGUCUCAAGCCUGAUACAGCCAUGCCGCGUGUAUGAAGAAGGCCUUCGGGUUGUAAAGUACUUUCAGCUGGGAUGCGUUACCCGCAGAAGAAGCACCGGCUAACUCCGUGCCAGCAGCCGCGGUAAUAC